GAUUUGCUGUGUAGUCAUAAAGAGCCACUACCUACGAGAGAGAUAAGACCACCACAGCUUUAUCACAACUGUACCACAGAGAAAACCCCCAACAUUCACUUCCUCUUGCAGAAGAGCAGCUGAAACCAAAGCAGUACUUUGGACCGCUUCAGCUGGGUCUACAACCAUCGGGAACUUCUUUGUGCCAGGCUGCAGACAACGUGGACCUGAAUCCUACCACAUUCCCUCCGCUUUCUCCUUGCUUAACUUGAUUUCAGACUCCUGGCCUCUAGAAACAGUAAAAGAAUAAACUUUCGUUGUUUUAAGCCA